UACGGGGGGGGCAAGCGUUGUUCGGAAUUACUGGGCGUAAAGGGCUCGUAGGUGGCCAACUAAGUCAGACGUGAAAUCCCUCAGCUAAACUGGGGAACUGCGUCUGAUACUGGAUGGCUUGAGUUUGGGAGAGGGAUGCGGAAUUCCAGGUGUAGCGGUGAAAUGCGUAGAUAUCUGGAGGAACACCGGUGGCGAAGGCGGCAUCCUGGACCAACACUGACACUGAGGAGCGAAAGCCAGGGGAGCAAACGGG
rnacentral:rRNA from 1 species